rfam:Canis lupus familiaris chromosome X, whole genome shotgun sequence.
GCCUGGGUGGCUCAGUGGUUGGGCACCUGCCUUCGGUUCAGGUCUGAUCCCAGGAUGUGGGAUCGAGUCCCACAUCGGGCU